rnacentral:rRNA from 1 species
CACGGGGGGAGCAAGCGUUGUUCGGAAUCACUGGGCGUAAAGGGCGUGUAGGCGGUCAGGUAAGUGAAAUGUGAAAUGCCUCGGCUCACCCGAGGACCGGCAUCUCAUACUGCUUGGCUUGAGUACGGGAGAGGAUGUGGGAAUUCCUGGUGUAGCGGUGAAAUGCGUAGAUAUCAGGAGGAACACCGGUGGCGAAGGCGCACAUCUGGCCCGAUACUGACGCUGAUGCGCGAAAGCUAGGGGAG